UAAGGGCGCACGGUGGAUGCCUUGGCACUAGAAGCCGAUGAAGGACGUUACUAACGACGAUAUGCUUUGGGGAGCUGUAAGUAAGCUUUGAUCCAGAGAUUUCCGAAUGGGGAAACCCAGCAUGAGUUAUGUCAUGUUAUCGAUAUGUGAAUACAUAGCAUAUCAGAAGGCACACCCGGAGAACUGAAACAUCUUAGUACCCGGAGGAAGAGAAAGAAAAUUCGAUUCCCUUAGUAGCGGCGAGCGAAACGGGAAGAGCCCAAACCAACAAGCUUGCUUGUUGGGGUUGUAGGACACUCUAUACGGAGUUACAAAGGACGACAUUAGACGAAUCAUCUGGAAAGAUGAAUCAAAGAAGGUAAUAAUCCUGUAGUCGAAAAUGUUGUCUCUCUUGAGUGGAUCCUGAGUACGACGGAGCACGUGAAAUUCCGUCGGAAUCUGGGAGGACCAUCUCCUAAGGCUAAAUACUCUCUAGUGACCGAUAGUGAACCAGUACCGUGAGGGAAAGGUGAAAAGCACCCCGGAAGGGGAGUGAAAUAGAACCUGAAACCGUGUGCUUACAAGUAGUCAGAGCCCGUUAAUGGGUGAUGGCGUGCCUUUUGUAGAAUGAACCGGCGAGUUACGAUUUGAUGCAAGGUUAAGCAGUAAAUGUGGAGCCGUAGCGAAAGCGAGUCUGAAUAGGGCGUUUAGUAUUUGGUCGUAGACCCGAAACCAGGUGAUCUACCCUUGGUCAGGUUGAAGUUCAGGUAACACUGAAUGGAGGACCGAACCGACUUACGUUGAAAAGUGAGCGGAUGAACUGAGGGUAGCGGAGAAAUUCCAAUCGAACCUGGAGAUAGCUGGUUCUCUCCGAAAUAGCUUUAGGGCUAGCCUCAAGUGAUGAUUAUUGGAGGUAGAGCACUGUUUGGACGAGGGGCCCCUCUCGGGUUACCGAAUUCAGACAAACUCCGAAUGCCAAUUAAUUUAACUUGGGAGUCAGAACAUGGGUGAUAAGGUCCGUGUUCGAAAGGGAAACAGCCCAGACCACCAGCUAAGGUCCCAAAAUAUAUGUUAAGUGGAAAAGGAUGUGGCGUUGCCCAGACAACUAGGAUGUUGGCUUAGAAGCAGCCAUCAUUUAAAGAGUGCGUAAUAGCUCACUAGUCGAGUGACACUGCGCCGAAAAUGUACCGGGGCUAAACAUAUUACCGAAGCUGUGGAUUGUCCUUUGGACAAUGGUAGGAGAGCGUUCUAAGGGCGUUGAAGCAUGAUCGUAAGGACAUGUGGAGCGCUUAGAAGUGAGAAUGCCGGUGUGAGUAGCGAAAGACGGGUGAGAAUCCCGUCCACCGAUUGACUAAGGUUUCCAGAGGAAGGCUCGUCCGCUCUGGGUUAGUCGGGUCCUAAGCUGAGGCCGACAGGCGUAGGCGAUGGAUAACAGGUUGAUAUUCCUGUACCACCUAU
rnacentral:rRNA from 1 species